AUGGAGGGAGUAGCAGGGAUGUUGAGGAGUCUCAAGUUGUCGGAGGAAGAGAGGAAAGGGGUCAAGAUCCGGCUGGGGGGGAAGGAGAAAGGGAAAGGAUCGAAGUUUCAGGCGGUGGGGAGAGUGGUGUCCGAGAAGCCGGCUCAUCCAGAUGCGAUUUGCCUCUCCUUGGGCCGGAUCUGGUGCCCGAUAAAAGGAAUUGACUGCAAGGAGGCGGGGGAUAACAGGUUUGUGUUCACACUCAAACAGGAGUCUGGUAAGCGGAAGGCACUUGAGGACGGGCCGUGGAUGUUUGAUAAGGAUCUUGUUGUGGUGGAGGACUAUGAUCCAAGCAAGAGAAUAGAGGACUAUGACUUCAAUGACAUCCCUAUAUGGGUGAGAAUCUUCAGUCUCCCUCUCGGU
rnacentral:rRNA from 1 species